rnacentral:rRNA from 1 species
CUACGGGUGGCUCCAGUGAGGAAUAUUGCACAAUGGGGGGAACCCUGAUGCAGCAACGCCGCGUGGAGGAUGACGCAUUUCGGUGUGUAAACUCCUCUUAUAUGUCAAGAAAAUGACGGUAGCAUAUGAAUAAGCGCCGGCUAACUCCGUGACAGCAGCCGCGGUAAUACGGAGGGCGCAAGCGUUACUCGGAAUCACUGGGCGUAAAGGACGCGUAGGCGGGUUGAAAAGUCAGGUGUGAAAGCCUACAGCUUAACUGUAGAACUGCACUUGAAACUCUCAAUCUAGAGUAUGGGAGGGGCAGAUGGAAUUAGUGGUGUAGGGGUAAAAUCCGUAGAUAUCACUAGGAAUACCUAAAGCGAAGGCGAUCUGCUGGAACAUUACUGACGCUAAGGCGUGAAAGCGUGGGGAGCAAACAGGAUUAGAUACCCCGGUAGUC